AAACUCAAAGGAAGUUGACGGGGGCCCGCACAAGCGGUGGAGCAUGUGGUUUAAUUCGAUGAUACGCGAGAAACCUUACCUGGUCUUGACAUGUAGAGAAGUUCUAGAGAUAGAAUGUGCCUGCUUGCAGGAGCUCUAACACAGGUGGUGCAUGGUUGUCGUCAGCUCGUGUCGUGAGAUGUUGGGUUAAGUCCCGCAACGAGCGCAACCCUUGUUGCUAGUUACCAGCACGUAAUGGUGGGGACUCUAGCGAGACUGCCGGUGAUAAACCGGAGGAAGGUGGGGAUGACGUCAAAUCAUCACGCCCCUUACGACCAGGGCCACACACGUACUACAAUGCCCGGUACAAUGAGCUGCCAGGCCGCGAGGCCGAGCGAAUCUCAAAAACCGGGCCAAGUUCGGAUCGGAGAUUGCAACUCAUCUCCGUGAAGCUGGAAUCGCUAGUAAACGCAUAUCAGCAUGUUGCGUUGAAUACGUUCUCGGGCCUU
rnacentral:rRNA from 1 species